ACGCUGGCGGCGUAGCCUAACACAUGCAAGUCAACUUGACUGAAGGAGCAAUCUGACAGUAGAGUGGCGCAAGGGUGCGUAACGCGUAAGUAACUUGCCCAAGGUAAGGAAUAACGUCGAGAAAUCGGCGCUAAUACCUCAUAAUGCAGCGGAUCCGCAUGGAUAUGUUGUUAAAGGUUUACCGCCUUGGGAUAGGCUUGCGUCUGAUUAGCUAGUUGGUGUGGUAACGGCACACCAAGGCUACGAUCAGUAACUGGUCUGAGAGGAUGAUCAGUCACACUGGAACUGAGACACGGUCCAGACUCCUACGGGAGGCAGCAGUGAGGAAUAUUGGGCAAUGCUCGAAAGAGUGACCCAGCAACGCCGCGUGGAGGAUGAAGGUAUUCUAUAUCGUAAACUCCUGUGAGAGCAGACGAAAGACAGAUUAUUAAUCUGGAUGACUGUAUGCUCAGAGGAAGCCCCGGCUAACUACGUG
rnacentral:rRNA from 1 species